rnacentral:rRNA from 1 species
GCCGCGUGAUUAAUGAAGGUUUUCGGAUCGUAAAGCUCCUCUGUUAGGGAAGAACAAGUACCGUUCGAAUAGGGCGGUACCUUGACGGUACCUAACCAGAAAGCCACGGCUAACUACGUGCCAGCAGCCGCGGUAAUACGUAGGUGGCAAGCGUUGUCAAUGCAUUAUUGGGCGUAAAGGGCUCGCAGGCGGUUUCUU